AAAUUUAAUCCUUCUACUACUAUUUCUAUGACUAUUAAAACAACUCCUUUUGGACCCUUAAGUCUUCAUAAAAAAAUUGUCUGCUUCAUCACAGGUUCCUGAAUGUUGCUCUCAAGUUGAUUGCUACUGUGUCCCAUGCAUUGAGAAAAGGGGUUUCUGGGCUGGCCCCUAAGUGUACUUGUUCUAAACAACUUAAUUGGUUGGGAUGGAGAUUUUCUAGUCACUUGAAUAAUGAAACUUAUUACUGUCUGCAUAUGAUAUCUUUGUUGUAUUAUUGGUAUCUAAUGUCUUGUUGGUCCUUAAUGACGUAGAGGUGGACUUUGUUCUCUUGAUUGCAACAAUGUUACAAUAUGAUG
rnacentral:misc_RNA from 1 species